GACGAACCGUGCGAACGUUGUUCGGAAUCACUGGGCUUAAAGGGCGCGUAGGCGGGUGUUCAAGUCCGGGGUGAAAGCCCCCGGCUCAACCGGGGAAGUGCCUUGGAUACUGGACGCCUUGAGCGAGGUAGGGGCCCGCGGAACUUCCGGUGGAGCGGUGAAAUGCGUUGAGAUCGGAAGGAACGCCGGUGGCGAAAGCGGCGGGCUGGACCUCUUCUGACGCUGAUGCGCGAAAGCCAGGGGAGCGAACUGG
rnacentral:rRNA from 1 species